CAGUCGCCGCGGGAAUACGUAGGUCCCGAGCGUUGUCCGGAUUUAUUGGGCGUAAAGCGAGCGCAGGCGGUUAGAAAAGUCUGAAGUGAAAGGCAGUGGCUCAACCAUUGUAGGCUUUGGAAACUGUUUAACUUGAGUGCGGAAGAGGAGAGUGGAAUUCCAUGUGUAGCGGUGAAAUGCGUAGAUAUAUGGAGGAACACCGGUGGCGAAAGCGGCUCUCUGGUCUGUAACUGACGCUGAGGCUCGAAAGCGUGGGGAGCGAACAGGAUUAGAUACCCCAGUAGUCCCUGUCUCUUAUACA
rnacentral:rRNA from 1 species